AUCAUAGAGUAGCACCUCUCAUAUGCAUGUGAAGCAGAGGCUCAGCGGGGGGCUCGGGGGCGAUGAUGGCCGAUGUGUCUCAGCAGGAAGAGACACGUCCUCACAGAGAGCUGUCUUCUGUCCCCUGUUUCAAACAACCUCCUUUUGAAGGACCAUCAAUAGUUCUAACUUUUUGCAAAACACGUCUUUAUAUAUAUAUAUAUAACAUUCUGUGGGUACUUUUUAAUAAGUACUUGUAUUAUUGAAUGAUUAAAACAUCUACUGCCUCUGCAUGUCCUCGUUAUACAUUUUAUUGAUUGUACUUAGAAAGGAAUUUUACCUCAGGAGACACUUUAAGUACUUCACAAGUUUCACAGAAAUACCACAGAAUACCUGCUACUUACUACACCGUGUUGACUGCAUUAUUACGGAAGUCGGUAAAUAUCAAGCCUCUGUUUUUAUUUCAAGCAGAUUUCAAAUAUGCUUUUACUUUUAGUCUCAUGCAGCUGACAAUAACCUUUUAUUGUGAAAACAGGAAGCAAUAACAACAAGGCUGCGUUAACACAAUCCAUUAAGUACAAACUAAACAGACGUCUUUGGUGUCAACCACAAACUUCUUGUCUUCUGCGGCUCUCCGGACGUUCUAACACCAACGAGGAAGAGAAGCAAACACCGGGGGGGGGGUAAACAAACAGUGGCGAGGAGGGAGGCGUUUAGCGGCUAAUUGUCUCCACUGGGGAGCUGUUAUGGUCUCAGGUAAAGCCUGUAAAGUCCCCGGGCCUGAGGGGUUAGAGGGGGGGGGGGGAUGUGCUGUUACAGGAAGAGCCCAAGGGCACAGAGAAGGACUCAAACCACACACACACCUACACACACACACACACACACACACACUCAAGUUUUAGAAACAUCCGCAGACACUGAUGCAGAAAUGAGAAGAAAUGCAUGAGUGUCGCUGAGUCACACACACACACACACACCUGGAGACAAAGGCAGUGUCCAUCAUCAACACACACACACACACACACACACAUAGACUCACCUGGGCAGCCCCCCCUUGACACCUGUCAACACUUUAGGUGAGGAAUAAACAUCCUCUGAGCUCGUCCCGCAGAUCAAAGAGAGACAGUGACAGGAUGACAGAUCUCAGAUCAGCUUCCAGACCAGAGCAAACGAUCACAGCGAUCAAUAAUGACCAGCGGUGGUGGAAGUAUUCAGGUAAGAGUGCUAUUGGUACAGAGUAAAAACAUUUUAAAAAGUAAAAGUACUGCCACUCCACAGUAAUAAUACGUGCUAAUAAUACAAUAAGUACUACACAGCGUUACAGAUGUUUUUGUCGAUAGAAUUAUAGGUUAGUUUCUGACGAACCUUUUACUUUGACAUGACAAAUAGGAAGUAAAGUGGGAUUAUUGCAAAAUUUAAACAACCACAAUGGAUUGUGGGUAAAUCCAGCUGUGCCAUAGAACAAACAGCUGGAGAGGAACAGGUUUAAGGUCAAAGAGACUGAUGACUGAGGAUAAGUCCUGAUUUCUAAACGUAAUUAGAUUUACUAACUUUGUUUUCAUUUCCUGUCACCUUUUCUUUUUCUCCUCUUGCUCGGUUUUGAACCCGAUCACCUCUUGCUCGUUAAACCUCCUCGUUUCACUGCUCCAUGAGUACAAGGCGUUCCCGUCUGUCAUCUUCACUUCCUGCCUGCAGCUGUCUGACAACUCUGCCCACCCUCGACAUUAAACCGGGGGGGGGGGGCUCACGGCUACUUAGGUGGUAAUAUAUCGUCCUGGAUGCCACAGGUGUUGUCCUAAAGUGGUCUGGAUCAGAUAAGAACCUCCCCCCUUGUACACUCUAAAAAUCCAAAGAGCCUCAGGUGUGACGGCCGUCACGGAUUACUCUAUGACGAAACUAGCGUCGAUGCUAAUAGCGGCUGUUACCAUGUGUAUGGGUGGAAGAGGCGGGCAGGUCAAAGGUCAACAUGGGGUAAAUUCACAUCCGGCUGAAAGUGAUAUGGUUUUUAAUGAUGAAAACAUUCACUAACUCGAAGAUCCUUUCAUAUGUCUCAAAGUUGCCGAAUGCUUGGGGGCAAAAUUACAUUAUCAGCGCAGUAGUCCUUCGUUCGCCAAGGCGACGCUGUCGACCAGUCACACGCGUGUGAGCCAACGUUCCUGUUUAGUUUGUAACGUUUCUACUGCCAAUGUUUAAUGUUGCACCGAUUGCAUUUAAACAAAUGCAAAAGGACCUACACAUGUUCCCUGAUGAACUCCGCUGGAACAAACAUGCAAACUGUGUUUUAGUUCAAAGAAAACAGACCUUCUGUAAAACUCCAAAACAAUAUCUGGCUUUGGGGGCAUUUUUAAAAAUAUGACUCAAAUCACAUGCGUCAGCUGAUGUUCCUGCUAAAGCAAAAAGAGCAAAUGUCUUUUGACUACAACGCCAUCUCCUCAGUGAAUCUUUCAUCUGACGUGUUUUUGGCCUCUCAGACGUCUCAAGGCCUGAGACAACUGUGGUUUUAUUAAACAGUUUCUCUGCUGGACCCAAUCCAAAAAAACAUUUAUCCGGUCAAUUGUUGCCUUUAUCAACAAACUGCGUGUGAUCGAUCAAAACCACCAAUCCAUCACGUAGCUCACCAGCUACCAGUGCAGCACGGACCUUUCCAGCCAGGUGAAAUAAUGCUACAAUGAAGCGUGGCAGUAAAUCUCCACACAGACAGGUGGACAGAGACGGUCGGGACACCUCCAGCUAGUACAGCACGGUGCGGGGAAACUAGGUAACGUGCGAGUGCGGAGGGGAACCGGGCCGUGGGUCUUCAUACCUGUCGAGGAUAAUAACAGGUAUUCUAGCAGCAGGAUGAGUCGAUGAUUGUACACAGAAGGCAUUUUCUUUUUCAGACGGAGGGAGGGAGGGAAGCUUUGGCUCUGGAAGCGUAAACUAGUCGUGACAAGUGGCCGUAAAUUACUCUGAAACGUCCAUUAAAACUCAACUGACACAAAUAGUCACUGAUGCCAUCCAUCAACAUACCUGAGUGACAGUGACGGCGCGGUCGGCUGCCAAACAUUAGUUUUUACAUUUUUUGAGCCACAACGGGAAGGAAGCAUAAGCCGGGGAUUCUGUCAGAUGUAAAUAC
ensembl:lncRNA